rnacentral:rRNA from 1 species
CUCGUAGGCGGUUCGUCGCGUCCGGUGUGAAAGUCCAUCGCUUAACGGCGGAUCUGCGCCGGGUACGGGCGGGCUGGAGUGCGGCAGGGGAGACUGGAAUUCCCGGUGUAACGGUGGAAUGUGUAGAUAUCGGGAAGAACACCAAUGGCGAAGGCAGGUCUCUGGGCCGUUACUGACGCUGAGGAGCGAAAGCGUGGGGAGCGAACA